GCGAAAGCGUUAAGCAUCCCACCUGGGGAGUACGCCGGCAACGGUGAAACUCAAAGGAAUUGACGGGGGCCCGCACAAGCGGAGGAACAUGUGGUUUAAUUCGAUGAUACGCGAGGAACCUUACCCGGGCUUGAACUGCCAGUGAACGAUACAGAGAUGUUGAGGCCCUUCGGGGCGCUGGUGGAGGUGCUGCAUGGUUGUCGUCAGCUCGUGCCGUGAGGUGUCGGCUUAAGUGCCAUAACGAGCGCAACCCCUUUUUUCAGUUGCCAUCAGGUAAUGCUGGGCACUCUGGAGAUACUGCCACCGCAAGGUGUGAGGAAGGUGGGGAUGACGUCAAAUCAGCACGGCCCUUACGUCCGGGGCUACACACGUGUUACAAUGGGGCAUACAGAGUGUUGGCUUAACGCAAGUUUGGUCUAAUCUUCAAAGUGUCUCCCAGUUCGGACUGGGGUCUGCAACCCGACCCCACGAAGCUGGAUUCGCUAGUAAUCGCGCAUCAGCCAUGGCGCGGUGAAUACGUUCCCGGGCCUUGUACACACCGCCCGUCAAGCCAUGAAAGCCGGGGGUGCCUGAAGUCCGUAACCGUCAAGGAGCGGCCUAGGGCAAAACUGGUGAUGGGGCU
rnacentral:rRNA from 1 species